ACACAUGUUGUUGAUGGGCGGACUUUCUCUAUCAGGGAGGCUCAGCUGGAGCAACAGAGCAGCAUUUCUGGAGGAGGGCAUAUCAGUUUUGACACCUGUUUUCAGAAUCAUCCACAGAAGCACAAAGAUCAAAUGCAGAAGGAACUGCACGUGGAAAGGCCAGCCACAUACAUCACAAAAAGAGGACUGAAGUCAGCACACAGCUUGAAAGCCGGACUACAGGCCUUUCUUCAAGAAUGGCUGGAGUGACCCUGGGGACUUGCUGCAAGAAGCAAGAGGAUUGGGCAAAGGUCAAGAGGCCAUUUGUCAAACAGCACAAGACAUGUAACAGGAUAUGCACACUACCCUGGCUAUCUCUGCAGACAGGAAGAGAGCUGCCAAGUAGGGCUGGAAAGAGACACUCGGCAGGUAGAUCUUGCCGUAACAAGGAGAAGAAACUCAUGGAUUUCACCUAAGACCAGAGAAGGGAACAUUCCCAAGAGACUUGGAGGUUCCAUCUCUCAAGCAACCUGAAAUUAGCAGGGAUUUCUCCUGCGGCUUUGCCAUGAUGUGGGGAAAAGGGAAGUGGUUUUGACGCAAGGGACAGAGGGAGUGUUGGCGGUGGCAGGGGGAGCAGGGGCAGCAGCUCACUUACGGGUUAAAACCACCCUGGAGAGGCCCAGCUCUCUGAAGUUCGACAUCAGAAUAUACAUUCGAGUAAGGGUGGUCAGUUAUUCAAUUUUUUGAGACUCACUUUCCUUGUCUUUAUACAUGAGGUUUAACAAAAUUGUCAAGAAGGUGACAGAAAACAGCAGAGGAAAAAGCUGCAGUAUAGUGGAUACUCCAUAAAUAUUGGUUCCCUUGGCUAUAUUCGUCCCCUCUUUUUCCCAAGUGUAGAGCAACAUGGAUUAAAAUUUAUUUUGUAUUUCUAGAUCUCCAGCAAAUGUAUUUAGAACUGUUCUAUUAAAUUUUCCUGGAAAAUAAAGCAUCCCUUGCAUUGAGGCUAUCUAGGUAAUCUAUUUAACAGCAUCUAAGUCUAGAAAUUCAGAAACGUCUAUAUGUGCGCCUCUCUCUGUAAUGUCCUGAUUCUUUUUUUUUUUCUCAUCCACUUGCCCAUCAGUGGUUCAGAUAUUCUCUCUAUAUUUGUGUUUGCAAAGUUCUAUUCCUGAAUGGAAUUUUCUCCCAGGAAUUCCCGACCGAGGCCAUCUGCUCUGCAGGCAGAAAGUGAAGCGACCGCAGCCUGAUGCAGCCAGGAAGGCAGAGGCUGAGAGGAGGGAGUGUGGCAUCAGAACAGAGUCCGCCGGGGCUCUGGCUUCCUCCUCCGGGAUCAAGGGAAAUGUGCGAAGCACAGUGCAGAAUCCCGGGCGGCUCAUGCCCACUCACUUGCUGGGGGAACAGAUAAAACACGAGUGAGGGGGAGAUUUUGUGGGCUGACACUCCCCAGAAAUGCUGUGUGCACAUGGGCGUGGUGAUUGAUACUUAGCGCUUUGAAGCAAACACCGUGAGACUACUCAGCAUUGGGAGAAGCUGUCCACGCGGACGCCCAGGAAGCAGCCCGGAGGAUAGGGUGCCCCAGCAGUACUGCAGAAUCCCAACUACUGACGAGAAUGAGUAAAAGAAUGCACAGAUUGGACAUGUAAAUAAACAGGUUAAAUACCCUGGCAGCUCUUGAAAACAAACCCCUUUUUCUGAAUCUGCUCAGAAACCUCCGUUCUCAUGGUCACUCGGCAACAUGCUGCGGAGAAGAAGACUCGGCCUCGGAACAGCCAUGCCCGGGUUCGAUCCCAGUCCUAGCUUGUGGCAGCCGGGUGACUGGGCAUGAUUCCUGGGCUUCAGUCCUAAUCUGUAAAACGUAGGGGCUGAAGGAGGAAGCGGGAUGGAGUGGAGACCAUUAGAAUUAAUGUAUGAGGCCAGGCGCAGUGGCUCACACCUGUAAUCCCAGCACUUUGGGAGGCCAAGACAGGCAGAUCAGGAGGUCAGGAGAUCGAGACCAUCCUGGCUAACAUGGUGAAACCCCAUCUCUACUAAAAAUACAAAAAAUUAUCCAGGCGUGGUGGCACGUGCCUGUAGUCCCAGCUACUCGGGAGGCUGAGGCAGGAGAAUUGUUUGAAUAUGGGGGGCCAAGGUUGCAGUGAGCCAAGAUCGUGCCACUGCACUCCAGCCGGGGCAACAGAGAGAGACUCCAUCUCAAAAUAAUAAUAAUAAUAAUAAUAAUAAUAAUAAUAAUAAUAAUAAUAAAUGUAUAAAAAGUGAAGUCCCUG
rnacentral:lncRNA from 1 species